AACGCGAAGAACCUUACCUGGUCUUGACAUAGUGAGAAUCUCUCAGAGAUGAGAGAGUGCCUUCGGGAACUCACAUACAGGUGCUGCAUGGCUGUCGUCAGCUCGUGUCGUGAGAUGUUGGGUUAAGUCCCGCAACGAGCGCAACCCUUUUCCUUAUUUGCCAGCGGGUUAAGCCGGGAACUUUAAGGAUACUGCCAGUGACAAACUGGAGGAAGGCGGGGACGACGUCAAGUCAUCAUGGCCCUUACGACCAGGGCUACACACGUGCUACAAUGGUAGGUACAGAGGGCAGCUACACAGCGAUGUGAUGCGAAUCUCAAAAAGCCUAUCGUAGUCCAGAUUGGAGUCUGCAACUCGACUCCAUGAAGUAGGAAUCGCUAGUAACCGCGGAUCAGAAUGCCGCGGUGAAUACGUUCCCGGGUCUUGUACACACCG
rnacentral:rRNA from 1 species